rnacentral:rRNA from 1 species
GGUUUCGUUAGGUACGGUAGGUCGGCGUAACCCGACCCAACGGAGGCGAGCCGACCACGGUAGGGUCAGCGACUGGGGUG